rnacentral:lncRNA from 1 species
UACAUUAUAAAUUCUUCUUCAUCUCCAACUGGGGCAUCAACUCUUGUAUUGUGUCCUGGCUGAGUUCUUGUGAAGCUGUAGUCUGUAUUAACCAGUUGUUUCUGUGUUGGUGGAAUGGGUCCUCGUGGGCCUGGAGGACCAGGUUGGGGAGGCCCUGGCCCUGGUUCUUGGGGGCCUUGGUUUGGUGGCUUCUUCGGAUCCUGGUAAGUUGAAUCCACAGCUACUAACAGAAAUUUAAACUAAUGCAUUUUUGCCAGUGAAAACAUCAAUUUACUAUCAAGUCACCAUCUCCAACAGAAAAGGGAAAGCAAUUCAUUCAGUUAGAUGGUUAGUGGUUUAGUGGUCAACUCAAUCAAAUUGCAAUAUAUAAGUGGCGAAGCAUACAUUAGUCGAUCGUUUAUAUUUCUUCCUUUGAAGUUUUUUUCCCUGUUUGAAACAGAUAGUUUAUAUUCUCUGAAACUCAAGACGAAUACUUCUUGUGCAGCUUCUACCUCCUCUGUUGUUGCUGCCUGCUCCAAGACUGCUGCGCCCCAUUCUUCGGACCCCCGGGCCCAGGCGGCUCACCACCACCACCCUUCUGAUAGCAGCCCAGCAUAUCCACCACAACGAAUAAUGCAGGCCUAAAUGUUGGCUCAAGAGCUUACUUGUGUGAACAUCCUGGCUGUUGAGAGUACCCCUUGCUACAGUAGUACACACACUACUGAAAAUAAUUGUCCUGUAUCUCUUGGAGAUGACUGUAUGCAGUCUUACCUAGUUACGUGGCACUUAUAUUGUUUGUACUGACUAAAUGCAAUUAUCGGUUACAUUUUGUUGGUGCUAUUUCUAGAUGGUUUUUGUAGAUUCAGUUCUUUACAUAAUUUUUGCCGGGCAGGUGUUCUAAUUUUACCAUAUGCUGUUGGAGGAUAUAUGUGUUGAUUAGAUUAGAUCAUACCAUACCAUAAACUUAAUUUGACACAAUUUUACUUUACAUACACCUUUUUUUGUUUAGCAUGUACUGAGUAGAGG